CCGUCUCAUAAAAGGAACGAUCCCUUGGGCAAAAGAGACACAUUGGAAUGUUAGGAAAUUCAUAAUUUGAAUUCGGAGUAGUUAGUAGUUUUCAAAUCGAAUAAGAUUCUGAAUGUUUGAAUUGGGUUGGUAGAUAUCUAAUUUAGGUUCCUUUUCGUUUUUGAAACGAUUAAUAUCAAUUCACUUCAAUUGGAAUUAUCUUUAUAUGCGUGGGAAGAUGGAAUAAUGAAAGCUUUCAUCUUUCAUGACCCAUGCACAGUCUUGGUACAGGGACAUAUAGUUUUGGCUUUUCGUGAUUGAUAUUUGUGAUUGUAAGGUAUGCAUUGAAGAGUUACAUGGACCUCCUCUCUCGAUCACUCUAAAUCGAUUAUUUGGCUUUUUUUUAGUGCUACUUAUCUUUUCAAGAGAUAAAAAAUAUGUGAAAUAAAUAUGGAAGUAUUUGAAAAAAAAUGUUUGGGAUGAGCGAU
rnacentral:lncRNA from 1 species